GCUGGGUGCAGUUGUGCACUCCUGUAAUCCCAGUGUCUUGGGGGGCUGAAGCAGGAGGAUCAUGAGUUCAAAGCAGCCUUAGCAACAGAGAGAUGCUAAGCAACUCAGUGAGACCCUGUCUCUA
rnacentral:sRNA from 1 species